rnacentral:rRNA from 1 species
GUANUGCCUUUCGAUAGUUGACGCUUGAGUUUGUUAGAGUUUGUGGUACCUCGAGUUAGAGGUGAAAAUUCGUAGAUAUUUCGCAAGAACACCGGUGGCGAAGGCGGCCAACGUGGACCAUUACUGACGCUGAUGGCGCGAAAGCGUUGGGGGAGCAAACAGGAUUAGAUACCCCUGGUAGUCCACGUCCGUAAAACGAUGAAUGUCCAGCUUUGGGGUGCUUGCACUCGCAGUAGCUGCAGUCUAACGCUUUUGAGCAUUCCGCUCUGGGGAGUACGGUCUCAAGAUUAAAACUCAAAGGAAUUGACGGGGGCCCUGCACAANCGGUGGAGCAUGUGGUUUAAUUCGAAGCAACGCGCAGAACCUUACCAUCCUUUGACAUGGCGUGUUAUCCCAGAGAGAUUUGGGGUCCACUUCGGUGGCGCGCACACAGGUGCUGCAUGGCUGUCGUCAGCUCGUGUCGUGAGAUGUUUGGGUUAAGUCCCGCAACGAGCGCAACCCACGUCCUUAGUUGCCAUCAUUCAGCUUGGGCACUCUAGGGAGACUGCCGGUGAUAAGCCGCGAGGAAGGUGUGGAUGACGUCAAGUCUCUCAUGGCCCUUACGGUGAUGGGCUACACACGUGCUACAAUGGCGGUGACAGUGGGACGCGAAGGAGCGAUCUGGAGCAAAUCCCCAAAAGCCGUCUCAGUUCGGAUUGCACUCUGCAACCUCGACGUGCAUGAACGGCGGAAUCGCAACGUAAUNCGUAGUAUCGAUGCUACUGCGCUCCAAGCUGCAG